rnacentral:rRNA from 1 species
GGGUUGUGAGGUUAAGCGACUAAGCGUACACGGUGGAUGCCCUGGCAGUCAGAGGCGAUGAAGGACGUGCUAAUCUGCGAUAAGCGUCGGUAAGGUGAUAUGAACCGUUAUAACCGGCGAUUUCCGAAUGGGGAAACCCAGUGUGAUUCGUCACACUAUCAUUAACUGAAUCCAUAGGUUAAUGAGGCGAACCGGGGGAACUGAAACAUCUAAGUACCCCGAGGAAAAGAAAUCAACCGAGAUUCCCCCAGUAGCGGCGAGCGAACGGGGAGCAGCCCAGAGCCUGAAUCAGUGUGUGUGUUAGUGGAAGCGUCUGGAAAGGCGUGCGAUACAGGGUGACAGCCCCGUACACAAAAAUGCACAUGCUGUGAGCUCGAUGAGUAGGGCGGGACACGUGGUAUCCUGUCUGAAUAUGGGGGGACCAUCCUCCAAGGCUAAAUACUCCUGACUGACCGAUAGUGAACCAGUACCGUGAGGGAAAGGCGAAAAGAACCCCGGCGAGGGGAGUGAAAAAGAACCUGAAACCGUGUACGUACAAGCAGUGGGAGCACGCUUAGGCGUGUGACUGCGUACCUUUUGUAUAAUGGGUCAGCGACUUAUAUUCUGUAGCAAGGUUAACCGAAUAGGGGAGCCGAAGGGAAACCGAGUCUUAACUGGGCGUUAAGUUGCAGGGUAUAGACCCGAAACCCGGUGAUCUAGCCAUGGGCAGGUUGAAGGUUGGGUAACACUAACUGGAGGACCGAACCGACUAAUGUUGAAAAAUUAGCGGAUGACUUGUGGCUGGGGGUGAAAGGCCAAUCAAACCGGGAGAUAGCUGGUUCUCCCCGAAAGCUAUUUAGGUAGCGCCUCGUGAAUUCAUCUCCGGGGGUAGAGCACUGUUUCGGCAAGGGGGUCAUCCCGACUUACCAACCCGAUGCAAACUGCGAAUACCGGAGAAUGUUAUCACGGGAGACACACGGCGGGUGCUAACGUCCGUCGUGAAGAGGGAAACAACCCAGACCGCCAGCUAAGGUCCCAAAGUCAUGGUUAAGUGGGAAACGAUGUGGGAAGGCCCAGACAGCCAGGAUGUUGGCUUAGAAGCAGCCAUCAUUUAAAGAAAGCGUAAUAGCUCACUGGUCGAGUCGGCCUGCGCGGAAGAUGUAACGGGGCUAAACCAUGCACCGAAGCUGCGGCAGCGACACUAUGUGUUGUUGGGUAGGGGAGCGUUCUGUAAGCCUGUGAAGGUGUGCUGUGAGGCAUGCUGGAGGUAUCAGAAGUGCGAAUGCUGACAUAAGUAACGAUAAAGCGGGUGAAAAGCCCGCUCGCCGGAAGACCAAGGGUUCCUGUCCAACGUUAAUCGGGGCAGGGUGAGUCGACCCCUAAGGCGAGGCCGAAAGGCGUAGUCGAUGGGAAACAGGUUAAUAUUCCUGUACUUGGUGUUACUGCGAAGGGGGGACGGAGAAGGCUAUGUUGGCCGGGCGACGGUUGUCCCGGUUUAAGCGUGUAGGCUGGUUUUCCAGGCAAAUCCGGAAAACUAAGGCUGAGGCGUGAUGACGAGGCACUACGGUGCUGAAGCAACAAAUGCCCUGCUUCCAGGAAAAGCCUCUAAGCAUCAGGUAACAUCAAAUCGUACCCCAAACCGACACAGGUGGUCAGGUAGAGAAUACCAAGGCGCUUGAGAGAACUCGGGUGAAGGAACUAGGCAAAAUGGUGCCGUAACUUCGGGAGAAGGCACGCUGAUAUGUAGGUGAAGCGACUUGCUCGUGGAGCUGAAAUCAGUCGAAGAUACCAGCUGGCUGCAACUGUUUAUUAAAAACACAGCACUGUGCAAACACGAAAGUGGACGUAUACGGUGUGACGCCUGCCCGGUGCCGGAAGGUUAAUUGAUGGGGUCAGCGCAAGCGAAGCUCUUGAUCGAAGCCCCGGUAAACGGCGGCCGUAACUAUAACGGUCCUAAGGUAGCGAAAUUCCUUGUCGGGUAAGUUCCGACCUGCACGAAUGGCGUAAUGAUGGCCAGGCUGUCUCCACCCGAGACUCAGUGAAAUUGAACUCGCUGUGAAGAUGCAGUGUACCCGCGGCAAGACGGAAAGACCCCGUGAACCUUUACUAUAGCUUGACACUGAACAUUGAGCCUUGAUGUGUAGGAUAGGUGGGAGGCUUGGAAGUGUGGACGCCAGUCUGCAUGGAGCCGACCUUGAAAUACCACCCUUUAAUGUUUGAUGUUCUAACGUUGACCCGUAAUCCGGGUUGCGGACAGUGUCUGGUGGGUAGUUUGACUGGGGCGGUCUCCUCCUAAAGAGUAACGGAGGAGCACGAAGGUUGGCUAAUCCUGGUCGGACAUCAGGAGGUUAGUGCAAUGGCAUAAGCCAGCUUGACUGCGAGCGUGACGGCGCGAGCAGGUGCGAAAGCAGGUCAUAGUGAUCCGGUGGUUCUGAAUGGAAGGGCCAUCGCUCAACGGAUAAAAGGUACUCCGGGGAUAACAGGCUGAUACCGCCCAAGAGUUCAUAUCGACGGCGGUGUUUGGCACCUCGAUGUCGGCUCAUCACAUCCUGGGGCUGAAGUAGGUCCCAAGGGUAUGGCUGUUCGCCAUUUAAAGUGGUACGCGAGCUGGGUUUAGAACGUCGUGAGACAGUUCGGUCCCUAUCUGCCGUGGGCGCUGGAGAACUGAGGGGGGCUGCUCCUAGUACGAGAGGACCGGAGUGGACGCAUCACUGGUGUUCGGGUUGUCAUGCCAAUGGCACUGCCCGGUAGCUAAAUGCGGAAGAGAUAAGUGCUGAAAGCAUCUAAGCACGAAACUUGCCCCGAGAUGAGUUCUCCCUGACUCCUUGAGAGUCCUGAAGGAACGUUGAAGACGACGACGUUGAUAGGCCGGGUGUGUAAGCGCAGCGAUGCGUUGAGCUAACCGGUACUAAUGAACCGUGAGGCUUAACCUUACAACGCCGAAGCUGUU